rnacentral:rRNA from 1 species
GUACGGAGGCUGCAAGCGUUAUUCGGAAUCACUGGGCGUAAAGGACGCGUAGGCGGGUUGGCAAGUCAGAUGUGAAAUCCUACAGCUUAACUGUAGAACUGCAUUUGAAACUGCUAACCUAGAGUAUGGGAGGGGGAGAUGGAAUUAGUGGUGUAGGGGUAAAAUCCGUAGAUAUCACUAGGAAUACCGAAAGCGAAGGCGAUCUCCUGGAACAUAACUGACGCUAAGGCGUGAAAGCGUGGGGAGCAAACAGGAUUAGAUACCCUAGUAGUCC